ensembl:lncRNA
GCCAUGCCAUCAAGACGUCUCUGCGCCUGCAUUGGGGGAUUCCUGAGCUAGAGGGCCUGGUCUCGCCUCCCAGCAGCCAAUAAGAGCCCUGCCUGCAUCCAGUUGCCAUGCCAACUCCUUCUCCUCUUUCACCGCUGUCUCCAUGGUGACCGUGGCUUUAGAUUGUUACUGUACCAACAGCACGUGGUAACAGUCUACAGCCAUGGUCGUCAGGGGGGCUGUUGCCACAGCAACAGUAGUGGCCCAGCAGAAAAAUGGAACUCCUGAGGUGCGAGGAACGUCCCGCAGGGAGUGCUCUGUCCCACAACAACCGACGGUCGUCACCAUAGAAACACGCAGAACACAGAUGAUGCGGCACCAGCUGACAGUGCUGGAAGUAGGUCGUGAGAGAGGCACGGGGAGGCAGCAACCCCCAGCCCAGCACAGCAUUCUCACACAUCUCCUCCGUUCACUCAUCAUCGCUCGAACCCCUUUGCCUAAGACAAGUUGUCUUUUCACAGACUGCAAAGAAACACACAGCAUGGCAAAAUAAAUCUGAAUGAAAAACCCAAUUAUCUAUACCUUCUUUACAUUUACAUUUAUAGAGGUUUCCGAUAAAGGAUAGCUAUAUGAUGUCUUGAUAUGAGUGUUACAUAGAGAAAGAAAUCUGUCGUAAGCUUGUCGUAAGCUUGGAGCUUGCAGCUCAGAGAAGUUCCUUUUAAGUUGGAGCAUGAACGGGUCUCAGACGGGUCGUAACGAACCCGUUUCCUGCCGUCUCUCAGCACCACAACGCUCGAAAGCACUCAAGGAAACACGAGUAGUCUGUUUGAUGAACUCUCUUUGAUUAAUCUCAGCUCGCCCCAAACCUCUGAGAGGCUUAGCAAUGCAUAGCCAUCUUUACAUGGAUGAGAACAUGGCCUCUCCUUUAUGUCACAGCAACUACACUUUCCAUCCUAACAAGGGAUCCCUUCUGUUGAGGACUGUUAGUGUGGGCAAAAUAAAUCAAAUUAUCAUCCACGCAGACCAAACUACCAUACUUUGUCUAAUCUGGACAGUGAUAAUGCUUGGCUGUAAGAUUGGUUAGUCUUGAGAAACCAACUGUGGCAUCGAAAAAAAACAAAAAACAUAAUAUGCUAUGAGUAGUUUGCUGCCAUAUUUUAUUCUCUUUAAUAACCAUUUUAGCCUGGUCUUUUAAGGGGAAGCUGUGAUAUUGCUUAUUGCAGCUGUUUUACGCCACACUUUGCUCUUCAACUACUACAGAAAGUUGUUCACAAAGUCUUGGCUUUGGUGCAAGAAGAGAGAUGGUUGCACUUUUACUGAUGUUAAAAUGAUGAUGAACAUGAUGUACAAAUCAUGUGUAGUGAAUCAAGUCUUCUCUUGUAAAUAUGUAAAAGUUCAUCAAAUAAAUAUCUAGAAAUGCCCCUGCUGAUGUUUGAGUUUUGUGUUCUCCGAUAUUUCAAAACAGGGAAUGUUUGAAAUCCUUGCAAUACAAUGCCUACACACCUGAAACCCUUGCACGUCGAUGCCAGGCCUGAGACGGUCCUAGAUCAAAAAGAGAGAUAAAACCGUCUCCUGUUGUACCUUUCCAAUGAUUAUAGGGAAGUGUGUGAUGUCACAUUCUGGAACACCUCAAGGCCAACCCCCCAGAGACAGUUCCAGUGGGUGUCGGCCUUCAGUCACAUGGCUUCACAUUCUAUAGAUCAGAUCAGUCAGAUGGCUUCACAUGACAAUGCUAUAGAUGAGUCACAGACCUUCACAUGACAAUGCUAUGAAGAGUCACAGACCUUCACAUGACAAUGCUAUAGAUCAGGGGUUUUCAACUGGUUUUGUCCCAGGGACCACCAUUCUGACUAGAAAGUAAUUUGCGGCCCACUGAUGUGCCUGCACACGCGUGCGUGUUUGUAACCGCCGCCGCCAAGCCCCCUCCCCCUGCAGAGAUAUUUUGCCUAUAACACUUAUAUAUGUGAAAUGAUCAGGGUACAUCGCUAGCUGCCACCACGCCCCCUCCCUUUGCACAGAUAUUCUGCCUAUAACACUUAAAUAUGUGCAGUUAUCAGGGUAGAUCACUUACCGUCGUUGCCACACCCCCUCCCCCCGUACACAUAUUCCGCCUGUAGCACUUGUCAGUGUAAUUUCUUAGAUAUUUUUUAAUCUUGAAAUGUGUUGAAAUAUCUAAGCAAAUUUAUAAAAAUAAAAAAAUUCAAUGGUGAACUGAUCAACAUAGGCUCAUGUCGCGGACCCCCUGCAAUGCCGUCACGGACCACCAGGGGGCCACGGACCCCCUGUUGAAAACCCCUGCUAUAGAUGAGUCACAGACCUUCACAUGACAAUGCUAUGAAGAGUCACAGACCUUCACAUGACAAUGCUAUGAAGAGUCACAGACCUUCACAUGACAAUGCUAUAGAUGAGUCACAGACCUUCACAUGACAAUGCUAUAGAUGAGUCACAGACCUUCACAUGACAAUGCUAUAGAUCAGUCACAAACUUUCACAUGACAAUGCUAUAGCUAUAAAUCAGUCACAGGGCUUUACAUGACAAUGCUAUAGAUCAGUCACAUGGCUUUACAUGACAACAAACCAAAUGUGCCAAUGAUUCUUGUGUGCAACACACGCUGAACAGAGGGGUGUGAAGAUCUUUGAAAGCCAAGUGAAGAAAACUCUUACCAUCACUGAUCUAUAAUAUUUAAAGGCUUGAGUAGUUUCUGUGAGCGCGUGCAGCCUGAGGGCGCCAUACGCAGUCCCAGAGGGGUCCCUGUUUACCUCCUGUACCUACAGCUCUGACUAAUGAGUGCACUUGGAUAUCAGUCUAUUUAGCUAUGACGAAAAAGACCAACUGAAGGUAAAGCUAUUCAUCCUUGGCACAGAGCUCUACUGGAAAACCCUGCAUUCUGAGCAGGCAGUAUAGUCCAGUCCAGUACUCCAUAUCCCAAAGGCUUUGUUGUGCUGUGAUCAUCACUAAAAGUGCAACAUGACAGACUGAUUUUUUUAAACUAUCUUUUAGUGCCCAUGGCUUCUUACAUCAAUGCUUUUGGGGAACACUGUCCAGUCUGAAGACAGGGGUCUUUGCUGCAGAGGCCGGUUGGUCAGCUCUGGCGUUGGGGCCUGUAGGAUUGAGUCAGGGUCAGGGGUCAGGUUUAUUAAGUGGCGGCUCACAUCUCCUCUGUGCCUCUUUUAGUUCCGUCUGCCUUGCCGUGUCUCAUGAUAAUCUGAAAGCCUAUGCUGCCACCUAGAGGUCAGUAAAAGUUUACAACUUAAAUUUUCAUAAGGUGGCUUAGUUACUACACACAAACACAAACCUUAUCAAAAAAAAAAACUGUGAAAAAACUCAAGCCAAGAAAAGAAAAGUCAUGUGUCCUGUUUGUUCAAGUUAACGUAUUAAUCUUUAAUGAUGCAGAAAAUGUUACAGAAUGAAAACUUGAAAAACUAAAACUUCAGGUUUGGUGCAAUAUGUGGUUUUAUUUGGGAGACGUGUAGACCAUAUAUCAAUAAAGUCUCUCCUUCGCUCCAACACACACACACACUCUGAUGUGGAAGCUCAGUUUUUGUCUGGGACUUUUAUCUAUGGGAGAGACAGACUGAGAAGAGGAGAGGAGCUGGAGGACAGGAGGAAAAAGGGAAUAUGGAGAGAAGCUUUAGAUAAAGACUGUGAAAGAGAGAGAGAGAGAGAGAGAGAGAUGCAGCAGAAACAUCCCUCACACAUGUGUCCACACUCUUCACACACACACAUGCACACACACUCUUCACACACACACACACACACACACUCAUCCACAUGCACACACACUCUUCGCACACGCUCACACUCCCUCAGGGGCGACUCCUCCCUGCACUGCAAGAGUUCAUGUGCCGACACACACAGAGUACACAUCACAGCACAUAAACUCUUACUGUUCAUGGUGAAGCGCACAGGGACUCAAGACAGGAAAUAAACACAAACACACAACACAUGUGUACACACACACAUCAAGAUCCCCAAUUAUGCACAACCACAUUCACCACACACACAUACACACACCCAAAUACACACACACCCCAAACUCGUGGGUAUUGCACAGUGCCUGAGCUAUGGGGGGGGGGGGGGAUUUGAACCAUGCCUUCAGCCUUCCUUGCAGAACGCAGUGUCCAGAUAAACAGGAAACCCAUAAACCAUUCAAGUCAUGCUGGCUCUUGAUGAUAUUAAGCAACUCCUAACUCCUUUCUCUCCACCACCUCCUCCUCCUCCUCCCUCUUCUCCUCCUCCUCCUCCUCCCAUCUGUGCGCUGUUAGCCAGAGAGCUGUCAUCAGCUCAUAAAUCUAAAGCCGCUCUUGAUUUCAAACACCCAAGUCUGUGGGAUCACAAUCAAACAAACACGUUCACCACACAGACACACAGAGCCUAAGGUCCUCCUACUCUCUCUCUCUCUCUCUCUCUCCCUUCCUCCUCUCUCUCUCUCCCUUCCUCCUCUCUCUCUCCCUUCCUCCUCUCUCUCUCCUUCCUCUCUCCCCUCCUCCUCUCUCUCUCUCCCCUCCUCUCUCUCUCCCAUCCUCCUCUCUCUCUCUCUUCCCUCCUCCUCUCCAUCUCUCUCUUUUCUCCUCUCUCUCUCUCUCACUCCUCUCUUUCUCUUCCCUCCUCCUCACUAUCUCUCUCUCUCUCUCCUCCUCCUCUAUCUCUCUCUCCUUUCCACCUCUCUCUCUCUACCCUCCUCUUCUCUCUCUCUCUCUCCCCUCCUCUCUAUCUAUCUCUCCCCUCCACCUCUCUCUUUCUCUCUCUCACCUCCUCUAUCGCUCUCUACCCUCCUCCUCUCUAUCUCUCUCUCCCUUCCUCCUCUCUCUCUGUCAGCGUAAGUUCUCUUCCUUUGCUCCUCUCUCUUCCAUUCCCCUACUCCUCCAGACUGUUUGUAAACACUGGACAUGUGAGACCCCACACUACAGUAAACAUGUGAGACCCCACGCCACAGUAAACAUGUGAGACCCCACACUACAGUAAACAUGUGAGACCCCACGCCACAGUAAACAUGUGAGACCCCACACUACAGUAAACAUGUGAGACCCCACGCUACAUUAAACAUGUGAGACCCCACGCUACAUGUGAGACCCCACGCCACAGUAAACAUGUGAGACCCCACGCUACAGUAAACAUGUGAGACCCCACGCCACAGUAAACAUGUGAGACCCCACGCUACAGUAAACAUGUGAGACCCCACGCUACAUGUGAGACCCCACACUACAGUAAACAUGUGAGACCCCACGCCACAGUAGACAUGUGAGACCCCACGCUACAUGUGAGACCCCACGCCACAGUAAACAUGUGAGACCCCACGCUACAGUAAACAUGUGAGACCCCACGCCACAGUAAACAUGUGAGACCCCACGCUACAUGUGAGACCCCACGCCACAGUAAACAUGUGAGACCCCACACUACAGUAGACAUGUGAGACCCCACGCUACAUGUGAGACCCCACGCUACAUGUGAGACCCCACGCUACAUGUGAGACCCCAUGCUACAGUAAACAUGUGAGACCCCACGCUACAUGUGAGACCCCACGCUACAGUAAACAUGUGAGACCCCACACCACAGUAAACAUGUGAGACCCCACGCCACAGUAGACAUGUGAGACCCCACGCUACAUGUGAGACCCCACGCUACAUGUGAGACCCCACGCUACAUGUGAGACCCCACGCUACAGUAGACAUGUGAGACCCCACACUACAUGUGAGACCCCACGCUACAUGUGAGACCCCACGCUACAGUAAACAUGUGAGACCCCACGCUACAUGUGAGACCCCACGCUACAUGUGAGACCCCACGCUACAGUAAACAUGUGAGACCCCACGCUACAUGUGAGACCCCACGCUACAGUAAACAUGUGAGACCCCACACUACAUGUGAGACCCCACGCUACAGUAAACAUGUGAGACCCCACGCUACAUGUGAGACCCCACGCUACAUGUGAGACCCCACGCUACAGUAAACAUGUGAGACCCCACGCUACAUGUGAGACCCCACACUACAGUAAACAUGUGAGACCCCACGCUACAGUAAACAUGUGAGACCCCACGCUACAUGUGAGACCCCACGCUACAUGUGAGACCCCACGCUACAUGUGAGACCCCACACUACAUGGGAGACCCCACGCUACAGUAGACAUUCUGGGAAGACCAGAGACCCAACCUUCCGAUACAGACUAUGAUACACAAUGACUACAUACAGACUACACAAUGACUACAUACAGACUACACAAUGACUACAUACAGACUACACAAUGACUACAUAUAGACUACACAAUGACUACAUACAGGCACUGUAUUCUCUCCUAAUGCUCCUGAAAAUGUAGGAAGAUACAUGGUUUCCUGGUUUAAACGACGACUAUAAGGUCCUGAAUUCAAAACAGUAAAGAAAACGGCCAAAUGUAGAAAAAGAUUGAUUGAUCAGCACUCUCACAUAAAGGGAUUGUACCCAGUCAUACCUGGUGAAUCCAGAGGAGGCAUCAAACCCACUUAAAACAAAUCAGAAUCAUGACAAAGAAUCAUUGCCAGAUUUGGAAUAAAACACCACUAUUAAAGUUAACAACAAGUUGAAGUCCUCCCCACACAGACAUACUCAUUGGGAUCAGCUCACCAAACUCCCCCAUGUGAAGCUCCAGUGCCUGCCCAGAGUCUGCCUCAUGUCCAGAGUAGUUCAUGCUGUUUGGCAGGUCCAGCCGAGGUCUGGUGAGUUAGUCCAAAAGUCUGCGUAAACAGUCCGUCCCGCCACGCCAUGUCCACACAGAGAACACAGUGUGAGCGCGUGUGGUUUGGACUGCAGGCCAAGAGCAAGAGCACAACAUCUAUUAAAUGCUGUACACACACACACACACACACAAUCGCUCUCUCUCUCUCACACGCACACAUACGCUAACACUCACAACCACAAACUUCAGUCUCCUACUCACUCUCCUCUUCACUCAGCUGUAUUCAUGCAAGGUAUGAGUCUCCCCUGUCUCACACACACACCAGAGUUUUACCACUCUUCAGCACCUUCUACCUGCUCUUGAAAAGUCCUAAGUCAGAGGAAGAGGAAGAGUAGCGAGCAGCUGAUGCCACUGAUGACCUCAGAGCACCUCCAGACAAGGAGACGACCAAGUCCAGCAGUGGUGGGUGAGCUCUCAUACACGCACAGACACACACAGACACACACAUAUACACACAGAGGUAGUUUCCAGGAGGAAUCCAGGAGAAUCCACAUGAUGUAUGGAUGCUCCAGAUGGUCUUAAGAUGGUAUGAAGUCUUGCUGGCUCCACCUUCAUUGGUCCGUCACCAUGGAGGGCAUCUAGAGGUUCUUUCUGGUCUCUGGUUCUCCUGACUCUCCAUCAUCCUUAACGAUCUCUGUGAAAGCCCCAUCAGCCUC